rnacentral:rRNA from 1 species
GACGAACGCUGGCGGCGCGCCUAACACAUGCAAGUCGAACGAGCGAGAGAGAGCUUGCUUUCUCGAGCGAGUGGCGAACGGGUGAGUAACGCGUGAGGAACCUGCCUCAAAGAGGGGGACAACAGUUGGAAACGACUGCUAAUACCGCAUAAGCCCACAGCUCGGCAUCGAGCAGAGGGAAAAGGAGCAAUCCGCUUUGAGAUGGCCUCGCGUCCGAUUAGCUAGUUGGUGAGGUAAUGGCCCACCAAGGCGACGAUCGGUAGCCGGACUGAGAGGUUGAACGGCCACAUUGGGACUGAGACACGGCCCAGACUCCUACGGGAGGCAGCAGUGGGGAAUAUUGCACAAUGGGGGAAACCCUGAUGCAGCGACGCCGCGUGGAGGAAGAAGGUCUUCGGAUUGUAAACUCCUGUUGUUGAGGAAGAUAAUGACGGUACUCAACAAGGAAGUGACGGCUAACUACGUGCCAGCAGCCGCGGUAAAACGUAGGUCACAAGCGUUGUCCGGAAUUACUGGGUGUAAAGGGAGCGCAGGCGGGAAGACAAGUUGGAAGUGAAAUCCAUGGGCUCAACCCAUGAACUGCUUUCAAAACUGUUUUUCUUGAGUAGUGCAGAGGUAGGCGGAAUUCCCGGUGUAGCGGUGGAAUGCGUAGAUAUCGGGAGGAACACCAGUGGCGAAGGCGGCCUACUGGGCACCAACUGACGCUGAGGCUCGAAAGUGUGGGUAGCAAACAGGAUUAGAUACCCUGGUAGUCCACACUGUAAACGAUGAUUACUAGGUGUUGGAGGAUUGACCCCUUCAGUGCCGCAGUUAACACAAUAAGUAAUCCACCUGGGGAGUACGACCGCAAGGUUGAAACUCAAAGGAAUUGACGGGGGCCCGCACAAGCAGUGGAGUAUGUGGUUUAAUUCGACGCAACGCGAAGAACCUUACCAAGUCUUGACAUCCUGCGACGCACAUAGAAAUAUGUGUUUCCUUCGGGACGCAGAGACAGGUGGUGCAUGGUUGUCGUCAGCUCGUGUCGUGAGAUGUUGGGUUAAGUCCCGCAACGAGCGCAACCCUUAUGGUCAGUUACUACGCAAGAGGACUCUGGCCAGACUGCCGUUGACAAAACGGAGGAAGGUGGGGAUGACGUCAAAUCAUCAUGCCCUUUAUGACUUGGGCUACACACGUACUACAAUGGCGUUAAACAAAGAGAAGCAAGACCGCGAGGUGGAGCAAAACUCAGAAACAACGUCCCAGUUCGGACUGCAGGCUGCAACUCGCCUGCACGAAGUCGGAAUUGCUAGUAAUCGCAGAUCAGCAUGCUGCGGUGAAUACGUUCCCGGGCCUUGCAC